UCUUGCCUACGGGGCGCAGCAGUGGGGGAUAUUGCACAAUGGGGGGAACCCUGAUGCAGCGACGCCGCGUGGGUGAAGGAGCGUUUCGGCGCGUAAAGCCCUCUCGGCAGGGAAGAAGAUGACGGUACCUGACCAAGAAGCCCCGGCUAACUACGUGCCAGCAGCCGCGGUAAUACGUAGGGGGCAAGCGUUAUCCGGAUUUACUGGGUGUAAAGGGGGCGCAGACGGCAAUGCAAGCCCGGAGUGAAAGCCC
rnacentral:rRNA from 1 species